rnacentral:lncRNA from 1 species
GCCACUACCAUGAAAGAAAGUGACACAUCAUCUAACUCUACCACUUUCAAUAUUCUUCUGAAUCCACCAAGAAAAGGUCUCCAGGUUACAGAAAACAUGCCUAAAUCUGUGAUCCUGUGGAAUAUCGUUCAAUAAAGAGCUGCCAGUGCCUUCCCUGUGAGCAGUGAAGCAAAGAAAAGCAAUGAGGUAAGGAAUCUUUCCACGGAUACUAUAUAAGAUGCGUUUGAAUUUGAAGAAUGGAUUAACUUGUGGCAUUGCAGAGACCUGGCCCACAGGAUCCACACUUUAGUAUCUGUGUCAAGGAAGAAUGUGUAAUAGAGUAGACUGACACAGACUCAAGUUGUUCUGCUAAGGAUUAAAUACCUGGAUCUGACUGUUACUAACAAGGUGCCCUCAAUAAAGUUGCCUACUCAUUUUGAGACCAUUACUGGUCUACACCUGCCAAAAUAAA